CACACAUGGAUUAUAUUGUGGAAUUUCGGACUAUUAAGGAAACCCACAAGGCUAUGGAAUCAUAAAAGAAAAGACCUGUGGGAGGAGAGUUAAGAAUUCUGCUUCCAAGCAGACAUUAUUGCCAGAAGAAGUAUUUGAAAUGCUUUGGAGGUAUCCUUCAGAAAGCCUGGGCAAUAAACCGAAGGCUCCUAAAAAGAGCAAAGUGUCUGGUGAGUCAAGCAGAAUCUCAAAGCUGAACUAAAUUUGGUGAAUCUGGACUUUGCCAGCCCUGAAGAAGAAUAAGCAUGAAGGAACUCUUCAAGUAGCUAGUGCAUUUGUGUUGCUGUCAGCAAAAUAGCCAGUUGGAGAGCUAUGCUGUUCUCCACUAAAAGAAUUGUAGAACCAUUGGGCUUUAAUAGAUUUGAAAGACUGUAUAAUUGAAUUUAUAAUCAUCUGGCUUAGAAAAUAUGCAAAAUCACAUUCAUAGUGAGCAGAUGAGUUAUGGUAUCCGUGGACAAUUCUGAUAGGAAAUAUUGGUUAUAUCUGGUGAAACCCAUGAUAAACCAAAGGCACGUUAAGGGCAGAUGGUUGGAGUUGGGGUAUGAGUGUUGGUCAUACGGUGGAGGGGAAAAGAGUAGGAUGUUAGGAUCAUGCAGAAAUUAUGUGGUUGCCCUACAGAAAUGAUAAGCCAUAAAGUUCUACUCUGGCCAGUGUUUUAAGUCGAUGCUAGAAAAGAAAAACAAUAGUGGCACAGGGGUUGGUUAUUUGUUUUCCACAGGCCAAGAAUAUGUCAAAAUAAAGCCCAAUAGGAUGUAUAUUCAGUGGUCAAGUAGACUGAGAGAUGUUAACACACUUAUUCAUGGCAUCAUUUCAGAUUUUGCCUAUAGUAGGCAUUCAAAAGAUGUUUGUUAAAUUUUAUAAAUAAACAAAAGCUAUAUCAGCAUGGCCUUUUUCUAAUCCAAAACCUGGGCACACAGCCAGGAUAAACUUAAGCUGUCCAAAAGCCAUGUGCGCUCUCGCCAGAAUCAUCAAUUCUCUCCAGUCAUUUCACUAUGAAGAAGGCCUGGAUGAACUUAAUGGGAAAGUCCCAUUAGCUGCCACUCUUGGAUUGCAUAUCUACGUAUCCUUCAGAUUUCAUGUCCCUGAUAUAUUUGUGUUCUUGCUAGUCCUGAUUUUAAAUUAUUGCUUUUCCUUUUAAUAUUGUUCUGAUUUAUUUUUAUAUGUUACUCAAUAUUCUUUAAUGACAGCAAAUAAUGAUAAAAAUAAUAGCUGCCAUGGCCUAUUGAGGCUUCCUAUGACAGAAACUCUUCUAAGAUAAAAUUUCAUCCUCAUGACAACUCAUAACCUUUGAGAAAGUUUCCAUAGAUUUCUAUUUUACUACUAAAAAUACUGUGGUUUAGUGAGAUUAUGCAAUUAACUCAAAUUCACAAAGAUAGGAAAUGCUUCAGCUGGGAUGCAAACCUCUAUCUAAGAGAAAAACCCGAUUUCCUCAUUGCUAUAUAUACCAUUAAUUUGGAGCAAAGCAGAAUCACUUAAAAAUCCUUUUAAGUGAUGAUUAAAUAAAUCAUCAAUUGUUAAACAAUGAUUAGAUUCCUAAUUAUUUUCAGUCAUUUGUUUACCACUAAAUAUAACAAUAGUAGUAAUAAUAAUAAUGAUAACCCAUCUGCCUGUGUUCUUAAGUGUCUUAUAUAUUAGUUGUGGAAAUAAGACAUAUAUGAUGAACUGUUAAAAACUAUAGAAGAGAAUUUAUACCUAAAUAUGUUCAUGUAUUAAGUAGUACAAGAAAGUCAUCUGGAAAUUUUAAAAUGAAAGGAAAUCUGCAAAUAUUAAGUCAACUGGGCAUUUCUUUUCAGGAAAUGAAAAUUAAGCUGAAUCUGAAGGGUGCUAAGAACAAAAUUGAUGGAGGUGAAGACAGAGACUUCUACAUAAAGGAAAUAGUUAGAAAUUAAGCACAGAGACAAAAAUAAAAGACAGUGUUUUGUAGGGGCAGAGUGAUUGGGCAUAGCCAAGAAACAGGAUAUAUUAAGUAGAUUGAUAAUAAGGUUUAAAUGCUUCAAAAGUUCUAAGCUUAGAUGCUUGGAAACAAAAUUUGACCAAGAAUUUGGGUAAUAAAUUUGAAGAAUAAAAUGAGAAGCUUAAUUUGCAUGUGUUCAGUUUAAAAUGAUAUCCGGUUGGAAAUACCAAAUUGUAGAGCUGGAGACAUUGUACUGGGAAUUGAGUAAUGGUCAGGAUUUAUUACACUGGGACAGAAGAGACCAACACAUAGAAUACACUGAAGGUCAGGUUCUGUCCAGAAACCACUCAACACCAGAGCAUUAAUGAAUAUGUGAAUAAGUAAGUGCAUCUUCUUAGCUCAGGCAUGGAAACUGAUUUAAAAUGUAAGAAGUCUGUAUGGAUGGGAGAAAGAAGUGGAAAUCAAUUUAAGGGAAAAAAAGCAAAAUCAGAAUAUACAAUCUCUCUUCUGAGGCCCUAGUCAUAUGUUGCUAACUAUAGAGGAGUCAUUAGAUAAAAGUGUGUACAUUUGGAAGCAAACAAAGACUGCAUCCCAUGAGAUUUCAGAAGCUAUGAUUAUUAUAAAGAGCAAUAGACUCUCAAAAAUACUCUUAAAAUACUAUACAUAAAAAUAGCUAGUAUUUAAAGGCUCAUAAAAUUCUUGAACAGGUAUUAGCCAUUUAAGAAGUGAUGGUAGAAAGAGAAAUGUAUAGGUCAGA
rnacentral:lncRNA from 1 species